rnacentral:rRNA from 1 species
CAGUAGCCGCGGGAAUACGUAGGGUGCGAGCGUUAAUCGGAAUUACUGGGCGUAAAGCGUGCGCAGGCGGUUUUGUAAGACAGGCGUGAAAUCCCCGGGCUCAACCUGGGAAUGGCGCUUGUGACUGCAAAGCUAGAGUGCGGCAGAGGGGGAUGGAAUUCCGCGUGUAGUAGUGAAAUGCGUAGAUAUGCGGAGGAACACCGAUGGCGAAGGCAAUCCCCUGGGCCUGCACUGACGCUCGUGCACGAAAGCGUGGGGAGCGAACAGGAUUAGAUACCCCAGUAGUCCCUGUCUCUUAUAC